UACAGAGGGUGCGAGCGUUAAUCGGAUUUACUGGGCGUAAAGGGCGCGUAGGCGGUUACGUGCGUGCGAUGUGAAAGCCCCGGGCUCAACCUGGGAAGUGCAUCGCAAACGACGUAACUGGAGUAUAUGAGAGGGUGGCGGAAUUUCCGGUGUAGCGGUGAAAUGCGUAGAGAUCGGAAGGAACGUCGAUGGCGAGGGCGGCAGCCUGGACCGACACUGACGCUGAGGCGCGAAAGCGUGGGGAGCAAACAGG
rnacentral:rRNA from 1 species